AAUUUGUUUUCACAUCUGCAAAACAAAAACGUUCUCAAUCAUUCAGUUGAAUACUAUGCAAAUAGUGCCUUGUUAUGUUGGGGGGGGGGGGGGGGGCUGGGAAAAACAAAGACAUGGGCGGGUGGGGGGCAUAAGUUGGAAAUGGGUUUCUCUUUGGAUGACAGCAUUUGGAAUGUGUCAAGUACUGCAAAUGGUGAAAAAAUAAA